CUAAUGGCGCAGGUUAGUGUGGGGAGUAGUGAGCACGCGCGAGGAAAUGAACAGACGCUAUCGACCAGAGCGCUAAGGAAAGAGGCAUCAUGGUGUGGGGACGCAUACUACUACUACUCGUGGUCCUGAUAUUAACUUCUGUGUGACUUGCAAGAGGAUACGGACGUUGAAGAGAGACGAUGGCCCCCCGCUGUCCCGUUUCGUCCUGCUGUUCUGCGUGUGCGCGCCUUUCACUGUGACUUCGCUACUGUGACAUUGCCCGCGUGGAUGGACGGCCGCCAGGGUGGAUCUUUGCAGUAUAAUGCCAAUGCACUCUGGUCCCACGUGAACCUGUUCUCUUUUAGCCAGUCUCAGAAACUGUGGCUCAAUCUCCUGGUCAAACAUGACCUUUCUCAUUCCUAGAUGAACGUGACUCGCUACCCCUGGAUUAUACUAAGGCAGGAUGGGAGUCCAAUCUGACCCUGCACAACUUGUAUUCAUGCAUGUUUAAUGACUCCUGAUUGAAAUACAAACAAUAAACACC